AACGAACGCUGGCGGCAUGCCUAACACAUGCAAGUCGAACGAGACCUUCGGGUCUAGUGGCGCACGGGUGCGUAACGCGUGGGAACCUGCCCUUAGGUUCGGAAUCACUCCCCGAAAGGGGUGCUCAUACCGGAUAAUGUCUUCGGACCAAAGAUUUAUCGCCUUUGGAUGGGCCCGCGUUGGAUUAGCUAGUUGGUAGGGUAAAAGCCUAGCAAGGCGACGAUCCAUAGCUGGUCUGAGAGGAUGAUCAGCCACACUGGGACUGAGACACGGCCCAGACUCCUACGGGAGGCAGCAGUGGGGAAUAUUGGACAAUGGGCGAAAGCCUGAUCCAGCAAUGCCGCGUGAGUGAUGAAGGCCUUAGGGUUGUAAAGCUCUUUUACCCGGGAUGAUAAUGACAGUACCGGGAGAAUAAGCUCCGGCUAACUCCGUG
rnacentral:rRNA from 1 species